rnacentral:rRNA from 1 species
AGCGAACGCUGGCGGCAGGCUUAACACAUGCAAGUCGAGCGGACCUUUCGGGGUCAGCGGCGGACGGGUGAGUAACGCGUGGGAACGUGCCUUCCGGUUCGGAAUAACCCUGGGAAACUAGGGCUAAUACCGGAUACGCCCUUAUGGGGAAAGGUUUACUGCCGGAAGAUCGGCCCGCGUCUGAUUAGCUAGUUGGUGGGGUAACGGCCUACCAAGGCGACGAUCAGUAGCUGGUCUGAGAGGAUGAUCAGCCACACUGGGACUGAGACACGGCCCAGACUCCUACGGGAGGCAGCAGUGGGGAAUAUUGGACAAUGGGCGCAAGCCUGAUCCAGCCAUGCCGCGUGAGUGAUGAAGGCCUUAGGGUUGUAAAGCUCCUUUAUCCGGGACGAUAAUGACGGUACCGGAGGAAUAAGCCCCGGCUAACUUCGUG